CCCAGGCUGGGUGCUGAUUCCCGUCUGUUCUCCUGAGGAGGGGACCCGCUCUGCUGCCUUGGCACCAUGCCGUGGGCAGGGGGCCUGCUCUAUUCCCUGCAGGUGUGGAUGCCUCUAGAUUUCAGCACCAGGGUUUCCUGGUGCUGAAGAAAGACACCAGCCUCUGCCACAGGGUUCUAGAUGUCCUCUGACCCAAAAUUUCUGUUGUUCUUGUCUGCCAAAGAAGGUUUUGAGCGUUUCUCAUCAUCUCAAUCCCUCCUGCAGCCUUUCAGGUCACUGCCAUGACCAACUCUCCUCUGCUGACAUCCCCAUGCAAGCUGCUUAAUUUUUCUUUGAGUUCACUUAUUUGUAUUUUCCCUUUUCUGCCUCCUCCAUGCCAGAUACAGAAAUGAGAAGGCAUUGUAUGCAGAUUUCUCUCUGCCCUCCUGGUUCUCCCAAGAUCCUCACAGCUUUGCUCAUAAGAAUUUUGGUUUACUUUCCUGGGCCUGGCUUCACUUUGUUUAAAUGUUUUCCAGCGUCUGCAUACAGUUCUGGUCCUUUCAUCUCAGAAAGGGUAAUAGAGAAUGGAAGAAGGUUUAGAGGCAGGCAGUCAGGAUGCUCAGAGACAUGGGAACAGACUGUACAGUGAAAAACUGUAGGCUGGGACACUUCAGCUUGGUAGAAGGACAUACAGUGGGGAAGACGUCUACAAAAUCAUGUGUGGCCCAGAGAAGAUGGGGAGGGUUGACUGUUAGCUGUGUCUUCUGACACAAACCUGUGAACUGUUUUUGCCUUGACUGAAGCCUCAAAAGCCUAAGAAAUCCCUGUCCGGCCGAUGAUAUACCCAAAGGUUGUGCACUUUUUAGCCCACGCUUCUUGCAACACUGGGGGCGAAGCUCAUGGCAAACCAUUGAGGAGUGUGCUUAAAAAUCCUGCCUCAGAAACAUUUUGUAACCAUGUUUUCACGUGGAGGGCUCAGCCACGGCCAAGUGGAGCUCUACCAAAUUGUUCAUCACAAAAAUAUUCAGAGCUGGGAGGAGAAUGAGCUGGACAAAUCCCAGCCCAGAGAAAGAGACCUCCAGAGGGUUGUAUCUUGCAGGAACCUUUUUGUAGGGGAAAACGCUUGCGACUGAGACUCUAAUUUUUCUGCUGCACUGCCAACCCCACAGCAGCCUGCCAGGAGUUGCUCCUGCGGCAUUGUGAUGUCCUAGGAUGGUGUGGAAGAUGAUCUGUGAAUGGCAAGGGACUGAGCUCUUUAUUCUCCUUUUCUCACCUGAGAGUGGACACAGAGCAUUGCUUUGCAUCUCCGGUGACAGAGUAAGCCACAAGACAAACAAACAAUUUACUUUGGCUGAAAGAGCCACAAAUAUCUCCCUGAAGUCUAGAAGCACAAAGAAAUGGGUGAUUUCUUUUUCGGGAGGACUAAGGGACUUAUUUCCACCCCCCCAUCUCUCAUGUCCCUGCCUGCUUAUGACAGUGGCAUUCAGCUGUCACUUUCCCAGUAUAGGGCAGGGGAUUUGCAGUGACCCUUCUGUGACAAAUAACUUCUAAGGAGAGUACGACAGGUAUAGGAAGUCUUCUCCAUCAUCUGCCAAGGUCACUUCUAACAGGACACACAGCACAAGCCCUUGGUAAGGAGGCAACAAGCAGCGACAGCAGUUGACAGGGACAAAUUUGGCAGAGCAUGAAAAGAAAGGACUCCCCCUCCUUCUAGCUGCAGUGAAGAAGAACCCCAAGGCAUCUGAAGGGCUUUCUGCCCCUACCCGUCUGGAGGAGGUGAUCACUGCCUGGUACCUGCUUGGCAGCCACUUCGUACCCGUCGGGGUUCAUGGAGGGCAUGAUGUGGAUGCGCGUGUCAUGGAUGAGGCGCGUGAUCCGCUCGUUGCCCCGGCGGUACUCCUCGCACAGGAACUCUGAGAGCUGCAGCAGCAGCUCACGGCCCAGCACCUCGUUCCCGUGCAUGUUCCCAACAUACUUGAACUCUGGCUCAACUGGAAAGAGGAAGAGAGUGACGCCAUCAGCCAUGGCUGGAACAGGGGGCAAGAACAAAUGCCUACCACAGGGAGCCCCAGGCGAGCCCAAGGGACACCCAAUAAAUGUCUAAAAUGACCCUUUCCCUUGGAAAAUGCAAACCUCAGUGAGGGAGAGUGGCACAGUUCUCAUAUGGGCUCUGCUUCAUUUUGCCACAGCACCCUGGGAGCAGCUCAGACUCUCCUCCAGGUUGCUUUGGGCCUUUGGAAGAGUACUGGUUGGGGGUUUGGUCUUGGGUUGAUGAAAGGCAUCACAAAAGGACCAGGGAGCACUGGCAGGAUUGCUCUGGGCUGCCAGCUCUGGGGUAGGUGGCAGUGGAGGGGACAGACAGGUGGUUUCUCCCACCUCUGCUCUUCUUCAUUUGCUCUCAGUGCCCCUCACCAGCAUGGCCCAUUCCCAGCUCUGCAUCUCUCCUUCACCUUUACCUGCCUCCAAGAUCAAGGUUAAGGCCCUCCUCACCCUCAAAGGAAAAGAGCCUGGAGACAUCCUCAGCAGCUGAGCUGAAUAUGGAUCAAACUGUCCCUCAGGCAUCUCCAGUAUGACCAAAAAGGUCUCUUGCCACUGACUUUUCUAAAAUAAGGUCUCAAAAUACAGACUCUGAGGCCACAGGCAGACAGUGCCUGGAAAAGGACUUGCUCCUUUGCUGAAGGAGAGGCAGGACAUGUGAGGGACAGGUUGUGCUUUCCCAGAGGCCUUUUAAAGCAGUUACUUGUGGGAAAAUAAAAUGUCACAUUGCAGGCU